GUUUUUCCGCUCCCCUUGGCCUUGGUGCACUGUCUCUUUAAAUGGGGCGCCACACCACGGCUCGCGAGUGUUGUGGGUCUCGGGAGUGUCUGAGCUGCUGCAGAUGCCUCCUGCUGUAUGACGAUGUGCUGAGAAUGACUAUUAAGCGGAACUGGCCAGGUUCCAGUAUUGGAUGGCGAGCUAGAAGGCCCCGAGCCUGGACAUAUUGAGUGCGCCCGUCCGCCGGUGCGGUAGGAGGCGCUGCAGCCACUCCCCACACACACCCACUUGCACACACGCACACUAACAACCUCCGCUGGUGGAUUGUUUGAACUUUGCGAGUUUUGCACAGACUGAAACCCAGGUUCACCAAACUUGACGAUCUGAACUCUUUGUGCGCCUAAGUGGAUCUAUGAACUCUUCUUUCACAGCAACGUGGAUUUAUGAACAAUACUGCUUG